UACGGCCAAAUCAUGUUGAAACACCAGUUCUCGUGCGAUCACCGAAGUUAAGCAACGUCGAGCCUGGUCAGUAUCUAGAUGAGUAUUCUCUUGGGAAUACCAGGUGUUGUG